AACGUAGGAGACAAACGUUAUCCGGAGUUACUGGGCGUAAAGGGCGUGUAGGUGGUUUCGUAAGUCUGGCGUGAAUAUCUCGGCUUAACCGAGGCAGGUCGUCGGAUACUGCGGAACUAGAGGACGGUAGAGGCGUGUGGAAUUCCGGGUGUAGUGGUGAAAUGCGUAGAGAUCCGGAGGAACACCAGUGGCGAAGGCGACACGCUGGGCCGUACCUGACACUGAUGCGCGACAGCAUGGGAGCAACAGG
rnacentral:rRNA from 1 species